UACGUAUGGGGCAAGCGUUAUCCGGAAUUACUGGGUGUAAAGGGAGCGUAGACGGUAAUGUAAGUCUGGAGUGAAAGGCGGGGGCCCAACCCCCGGACUGCUCUGGAAACUAUGUUACUAGAGUGCAGGAGAGGUAAGCGGAAUUCCUAGUGUAGCGGUGAAAUGCGUAGAUAUUAGGAGGAACACCAGUGGCGAAGGCGGCUUAAUGGACUGUAACUGACGUUGAGGCUCGAAAGCGUGGGGAGCAAGCAGG
rnacentral:rRNA from 1 species